rnacentral:rRNA from 1 species
UGCGUAGGCGGGCUAAUAAGUCAGUGGUGAAAUCUUUCGGCUCAACCGAGAAACUGCCAUUGAUACCGUUAGUCUUGAGUUCGGUUGAGGUAGGCGGAAUGUGUAAUGUAGCGGUGAAAUGCUUAGAUAUUACACAGAACACCAAUUGCGUAGGCAGCUUACUAGACCGACACUGACGCUGAGGCACGAAAGCGUGGGGAGCGAACAGGAUUAGAUACCCUGGUAGUC